UACGUAGGGUGCAAGCGUUGUCCGGAAUUAUUGGGCGUAAAGAGCUCGUAGGCGGUCUGUUGCGUCGGCUGUGAAAACCCGGGGCUCAACUCCGGGCCUGCAGCCGAUACGGGCAGACUAGAGUUCGGCAGGGGAGACUGGAAUUUCUGGUGUAGCGGUGAAAUGCGCAGAUAUCAGGAGGAACACCGGUGGCGAAGGCGGGUCUCUGGGCCGAUACUGACGCUGAGGAGCGAAAGCGUGGGGAGCGAAC
rnacentral:rRNA from 1 species